GGUCAAGCGAACAAGUGCAUGUGGUGGAUGCCUUGGCGAUCACAGGCGAUGAAGGACGCGGUAGCCUGCGAAAAGCUACGGGGAGCUGGCAAACGAGCUUUGAUCCGUAGAUGUCCGAAUGGGGAAACCCACUCCUUUUGGAGUAUCCAUGGCUGAAUACAUAGGCCAUGCGAAGCGAACGCGGUGAACUGAAACAUCUAAGUAACCGCAGGAAAAGAAAUCAACCGAGAUUCCCAAAGUAGUGGCGAGCGAAAUGGGAUGAGCCUUGCACUCUUUAUUUGUAUUGUUAGCCGAACGCUCUGGAAAGUGCGGCCAUAGCAGGUGAUAGCCCUGUAGGCGAAAACAGUAUGAAAGAACUAGGUGUGCGACAAGUAGGGCGGGACACGUGAAAUCCUGUCUGAAGAUGGGGGGACCAUCCUCCAAGGCUAAAUACUCGUGAUCGACCGAUAGUGAACCAGUACCGUGAGGGAAAGGCGAAAAGAACCCCGGGAGGGGAGUGAAAUAGAUCCUGAAACCGCAUGCAUACAAACAGUCGGAGCCUCGUAAGGGGUGACGGCGUACCUUUUGUAUAAUGGGUCAGCGACUUACGUUCAGUAGCAAGCUUAACCGUAUAGGGCAGGCGUAGCGAAAGCGAGUCCGAAUAGGGCGUUCAGUUGCUGGGCGUAGACCCGAAACCAGGUGAUCUAUCCAUGGCCAGGAUGAAGGUGCGGUAACACGUACUGGAGGUCCGAACCCACUAACGUUGAAAAGUUAGGGGAUGAGCUGUGGAUAGGGGUGAAAGGCUAAACAAACCUGGAAAUAGCUGGUUCUCUCCGAAAACUAUUUAGGUAGUGCCUCGUGUCUCACCUUCGGGGGUAGAGCACUGUCAUGGUUGGGGGGUCUAUUGCAGAUUACCCCGCCAUAGCAAACUCCGAAUACCGAAGAGUGCAAUCACGGGAGACAGACAUCGGGUGCUAACGUCCGGUGUCAAGAGGGAAACAACCCAGACCGCCAGCUAAGGUCCCCAAAUAUAGCUAAGUGGGAAACGAAGUGGGAAGGCUAAAACAGUCAGGAGGUUGGCUUAGAAGCAGCCACCCUUUAAAGAAAGCGUAAUAGCUCACUGAUCGAGUCGUCCUGCGCGGAAGAUGUAACGGGGCUAAGCUAUAUACCGAAGCUGCGGAUGCGUGCUUAGCACGCAUGGUAGGAGAGCGUUCCGUAAGCCUGCGAAGGUGCCUUGUAAAGGGUGCUGGAGGUAUCGGAAGUGCGAAUGCUGACAUGAGUAGCGAUAAAGGGGGUGAAAGGCCCCCUCGCCGUAAGCCCAAGGUUUCCUACGCAACGUUCAUCGGCGUAGGGUGAGUCGGCCCCUAAGGCGAGGCAGAAAUGCGUAGCUGAUGGGAAGCAGGUCAAUAUUCCUGCACCAUUGUUAGAUGCGAUGGGGGGACGGAUCGCGGAAGGUUGUCCGGGUGUUGGAAGUCCCGGUCGCUGCAUUGGAGAAGGCGCUUAGGCAAAUCCGGGCGCGUAAUUCAAGGGUGUGGCGCGAGCUCCUU
rnacentral:rRNA from 2 species